rnacentral:rRNA from 1 species
CGAAACUGUGGAUGAACCUCUUUAGAGGUUCGUGGUAGGAGAGCGUUCUAAGGGCGGUGAAGUCAGACCGGAAGGACUGGUGGAGCGCUUAGAAGUGAGAAUGCCGGUAUGAGUAGCGAAAGAAGGGUGAGAAUCCCUUCCACCGAAUAUCUAAGGUUUCCUGAGGAAGGCUCGUCCGCUCAGGGUUAGUCGGGACCUAAGCCGAGGCCGAUAGGCGUAGGCGAUGGACAACAGGUAGAGAUUCCUGUACCAGUGCUAAUUGUUUAACCGAUGGGGUGACACAGAAGGAUAGGGAAUCGCACGAAUGGAAAUGUGCGUCCAAGCAGUGAGUGUGAGAAGUAGGCAAAUCCGCUUCUCGCGAAGCAUGAGCUGUGAUGGGGAAGGAAAUUAAGUACGGAAGUUCCUGAUUUCACGCUGUCAAGAAAAGCCUCUAGGAAGAGUAGUACUGCCCGUACCGCAAACCGACACAGGUAGAUGAGGAGAGAAU